rnacentral:tRNA from 1 species
GCGAUGGUGGCUCAGUGGUAGAAUUCUCGCCUUUGACGUGGGAGACCCGGGUUUGAUUCCUGGCCAAUGUA